UACGUAGGGUGCAAGCGUUGUCCGGAUUUAUUGGGCGUAAAGAGCGUGUAGGCGGCUUUACAGGUCCGUUGUGAAAACUCGAGGCUCAACCUCGAGACGCCGGUGGAAACCGUAAGGCUAGAGUCCGGAAGAGGAGAGUGGAAUUCCUGGUGUAGCGGUGAAAUGCGCAGAUAUCAGGAAGAACACCCGUGGCGAAGGCGGUUCUCUGGGACGGUACUGACGCUGAGACGCGAAAGCGUGGGGAGCGAACAGG
rnacentral:rRNA from 1 species